rnacentral:tRNA from 1 species
AUUUGAAUAGCUUAUAAAGAGCAUAAUAUUGAAGAUAUUAAGGUGAUUUUUGAAUCUUUAAAUA